rnacentral:tRNA from 1 species
GCCUGGGUGGCUCAGUCGGUUAAGCGUCCGACUUCGGCUCAGGUCAUGAUCUCACAGUCUGUGGGUUCGAGCCCCGCGUCAGGCU